AUUUAACGCUGGCGGCAGGCCUAACACAUGCAAGUCGAACGGUAACAGGAAGAAGCUUGCUUCUUUGCUGACGAGUGGCGGACGGGUGAGUUAUGUCUGGGAAACUGCCUGAUGGAGGGGGAUAACUACUGGAAACGGUAGCUAAUACCGCAUAACGUCGCAAGACCAAAGAGGGGGACCUUCGGGCCUCUUGCCAUCGGCUGUGCCCAGAUGGGAUUAGCUAGUAGGUGGGGUAACGGCUCACCUAGGCGACGAUCCCUAGCUGGUCUGAGAGGAUGACCAGCCACACUGGAACUGAGACACGGUCCAGACUCCUACGGGAGGCAGCAGUGGGGAAUAUUGCACAAUGGGCGCAAGCCUGAUGCAGCCAUGCCGCGUGUAUGAAGAAGGCCUUCGGGUUGUAAAGUACUUUCAGCGGGGAGGAAGGGAGUAAAGUUAAUACCUUUGCUCAUUGACGUUACCCGCAGAAGAAGCACCGGCUAACUCCGUG
rnacentral:rRNA from 1 species